rnacentral:rRNA from 1 species
GAUGAAUGCUGGCGGCGUGCCUAAUACAUGCAAGUCGAGCGAACAGACGAGGAGCUUGCUCCUCUGACGUUAGCGGCGGACGGGUGAGUAACACGUGGAUAACCUACCUAUAAGACUGGGAUAACUUCGGGAAACCGGAGCUAAUACCGGAUAAUAUAUUGAACCGCAUGGUUCAAUAGUGAAAGACGGUUUUGCUGUCACUUAUAGAUGGAUCCGCGCCGCAUUAGCUAGUUGGUAAGGUAACGGCUUACCAAGGCAACGAUGCGUAGCCGACCUGAGAGGGUGAUCGGCCACACUGGAACUGAGACACGGUCCAGACUCCUACGGGAGGCAGCAGUAGGGAAUCUUCCGCAAUGGGCGAAAGCCUGACGGAGCAACGCCGCGUGAGUGAUGAAGGUCUUCGGGUCGUAAAACUCUGUUAUUAGGGAAGAACAAAUGUGUAAGUAACUAUGCACGUCUUGACGGUACCUAAUCAGAAAGCCACGGCUAACUACGUG